AGAGUUUGAUCAUGGCUCAGGACGAACGCUGGCGGCGUGCUUAACACAUGCGAGUCGAACGGAAAGGCCCUUUCGGGGGUACACGAGUGGCGAACGGGUGAGUAACACGUGGGUGAUCUGCCCUGCACUUUGGGAUAAGCCUGGGAAACUGGGUCUAAUACCGAAUAUGAUCACGGGCUUCAUGGUCUGUGGUGGAAAGCUUUUGCGGUGUGGGAUGGGCCCGCGGCCUAUCAGCUUGUUGGUGGGGUAAUGGCCUACCAAGGCGACGACGGGUAGCCGGCCUGAGAGGGUGUCCGGCCACACUGGGACUGAGAUACGGCCCAGACUCCUACGGGAGGCAGCAGUGGGGAAUAUUGCACAAUGGGCGCAAGCCUGAUGCAGCGACGCCGCGUGAGGGAUGACGGCCUUCGGGUUGUAAACCUCUUUCAGCGUCGACGAAGCGCAAGUGACGGUAGAUGCAGAAGAAGCACCGGCCAACUACGUGCCAGCAGCCGCGGUAAUAC
rnacentral:rRNA from 1 species